rnacentral:rRNA from 1 species
UACGUAGGCAGCAAGCGUUGUUCGGAGUUACUGGGCGUAAAGAGUGUGUAGGCGGUCCUUUAAGUUCGGUGUGAAAUCUCCCGGCUCAACUGGGAGGGUGCGCCGGAAACUGGAGGGCUUGAGUGUGGGAGAGGAAAGCGGAAUUCCUGGUGUAGCGGUGAAAUGCGUAGAUAUCAGGAGGAACACCUGUGGUGUAGACAGCUUUCUGGACCACGACUGACGCUGAGACACGAAAGCGUGGGUAGCAAACAGG